rnacentral:piRNA from 1 species
UGUGUGCUCAUAGGAAUCUCCCAUUCUCCUCA